UGGGGAAUAUUGGACAAUGGGCGCAAGCCUGAUCCAGCCAUGCCGCGUGGGUGAAGAAGGCCCUAGGGUUGUAAACCCCUUUCAGCGGGGAAGAUGAUGACGGUACCCGCAGAAGAAGCCCCGGCUAACUCCGUGCCAGCAGCCGCGGUAAUACGGAGGGAGCUAGCGUUGUUCGGAAUUACUGGGCGUAAAGCGCGCGUAGGCGGAUUCUUAAGCCAGAUGUGAAAUCCCGGGGCUCAACCCCGGAACUGCAUUUGGAACUGGGAGUCUAGAGGUCAGGAGAGGUUCGUGGAAUGCCGAGUGUAGAGGUGAAAUUCGUAGAUAUUCGGUGGAACACCAGUGGCGAAGGCGACGAACUGGACUGAUACUGACGCUGAGGUGCGAAAGUGUGGGGAGCAAACAGGAUUAGAUACCCGUGUAGUCC
rnacentral:rRNA from 1 species